ensembl:lncRNA
GUGACGGUCCCGGAAUGCUUGGGUAGGAGGAAGCGCACCUCCAGCCAAAAAUGGACCGGACGCGCGUGUCCCAGCUCCUCCCUCCUCCCUCCCGCCCGCCGGGGUGCAGGUCGCAAUACGGAGUCCGUAUCGGAAAAGGCUGGGAUUAUGCUAAUGCAUGAGCAGUACACCUGUCCAUGGCCAGUCUGCAAAUGAGCUCAAGACACAGCACCUCCUCAAAAUGCCUUUUUCAGUAUUUGGUGGUGAGUAGCUUCGCUGGAUCAGAUUUUGUCCCUGGGAGAGCUGAAGUGGGGAGCAGAAGUGAUUCAAUCGCAGGAUGUGAUUCCCUGCAGACCAAGGGUUUCUUUUGGUCCUACAUCUCAGCAGCCUAAUUAACAUGUGGAAAACAGCUUCUUACCUCAAACUGGGCUGGGAACACUAGCAGAGGAUGACUGCUGAAGCUGCCUCCUCGAAGAGCAGCCAGAAGAGCAGGGCCUUGCUUUUGACAAACCUUGACAUCAUCUUUCAAUUUCCAGAGCAGGUUUCCGUUUUAUCAUACUUUUUGACAUCCUCCUCCUUCAAGGGCUUCAGUUUAAGAAAAAAGAAUGUAGGGCUCUCUUUUAUCUUCUUUGCC